rnacentral:rRNA from 1 species
CCAAGGCGUCGACGGGUAGCUGGUCUGAGAGGGUGACCGGCCACACUGGGACUGAGACACGGCCCAGACUCCUACGGGAGGCAGCAGUGGGGAAUAUUGCACAAUGGGCGAAAGCCUGACGCAGCAACGCCGCGUGAGGGAUGACGGCCUUCGGGUUGUAAACCUCUUUCAGCAGGGACGAAGCGAAAGUGACGGUACCUGCAGAAGAAGGACCGGCUAACUACGUGCCAG